rnacentral:lncRNA from 1 species
CAAAGCAUAACAUCUACGGAAGAGGAAAGAGAAUAUAAAUACAUCCACGUAGAGAGAGAUAGAUACCAAAGCAUUACAUCUACGGAAGAGGAAAGAGAAUAUUAAUACAUCCACGUAGAGAGAGAUAGAUAUCAAAGUAUAACAUCUAUGGAAGAGGAAAGAGAAUAUUAAUACAUCCACGUAGAGAGAGAUGGAUAUCAAAGCAUAACAUCUACGGAAGAGGAAAGAGAAUAUUAAUACAUCCACGUAGAGAGAGAUGGAUAUCAAAGCAUAACAUCUACGGAAGGGGAAAGAGAAUAUUAAUACAUCCACAUAGAGAGAGAUAGAUACCAAAGCAUAACAUCUACGGAAGAGGAAAGAGAAUAUUAAUACAUCCACAUAGAAAGAGAUGUAUAUUAAAGUAUAACAUCUACGGAAGAGGAAAGAGAAUAUUAAUACAUCCACAUAGAGAGAGAUAGAUACCAAAGCAUAACAUCUACGGAAGAGGAAAGAGAAUAUUAAUACAUCCACGUAGAGAGAGAUAGAUAUCAAAGUAUAACAUCUAUGGAAGAGGAAAGAGAAUAUUAAUACAACCACGUACAGAGAGAUGGAUAUCAAAGCAUUACAUCUACGGAAGAGGAAAGAGAAUAUUAAUACAUCCACGUAGAGAGAGAUAGAUAUCAAAGUAUAACAUCUACGGAAGAGGAAAGAGAAUAUUAAUACAUCCACGUAGAGAGCGAUAGAUACCAAAGCAUUACAUCUAUGGAAGAGGAAAGAGAAUAUUAAUACAUCCACAUAGAGAGAGAUGGAUAUCAAAGCAUAACAUCUACGGAAGGGG